rnacentral:lncRNA from 1 species
AGCCACUUACUCAUUCUUCCCAAUGCUUGUCGCUGCUAUCCUAAAUAUAGGGUAGUGUGCCAACGGGAGAGGCUCGGGAGCGAGCCGGGGUGCAGGGAACGCCACCGCCGUGUCGGCAGAGCCGUGCUGCUCCCAGCCCGUGCUGCCUGCUUGCUGCAGGCUUUGUGCUGCUUGGGGAGCUGCCACGUGGCUCACACCAGGCUGAGUGCUGCGGGGCCGCGCUCUGCUCCUCUGGCUGCUGCGGGGCCUGAGGGUGGGCAGUGGGGGACACCGAGAUCCCCACCGGCUUCGGCUGUGAGAGGCACGGCCAGAACUGGCUCAGACCUGACCAUAGCUUAUCUGCCACGGCCGGCUGCUCUGGAGGAAUUCCUGCACGUCUUCUGGCGGCAGAACUUCGCUCCGGCAGCGGGGGGACGUCGGAGGGAAUGCUGCGUCCUGGUUCGUGCCAUAGAGAGAGGCGCUGCGGUGCUUUGCACCUGAGCCCGGGGUCCCCUCAGCUCUGCUGGAGGAGCAGCAGGAGCGGUGUGAGCUGCCUCUCCGCGUCCCGUCAGCUGAGGAAUAGCGUGGAGGAAUGAAUUCCAGUGAGUUGGAUGAGGAAAAUGUAAACUCUGCGUUCUCGUCGGGCAAACAGCAGUCGUGUAAAUAAACGUCUCUGGGAUUCCUUGUGGUGCUCAUCGACUGCCC